rnacentral:rRNA from 1 species
CACGUAGGGUGCGAGCGUUGUCCGGAAUUAUUGGGCGUAAAGAGCUCGUAGGCGGUGUGUCGCGUCGGCCGUGAAAACCUGCAGCUUAACUGUGGGCGUGCGGUCGAUACGGGCAUCACUGGAGUUCGGCAGGGGAGACUGGAAUUCCUGGUGUAGCGGUGAAAUGCGCAGAUAUCAGGAGGAACACCGGUGGCGAAGGCGGGUCUCUGGGCCGAUACUGACGCUGGAGGAG